AUGAAUUAGCCAUUUCAAUUACUUUUCGAAUUUCAAUUUCAUUUCCAAUUAGUAUUAGUAUUUCAGUUACAAUUACUAAAUCUGUGAACGCUGGAUAAGACAAUGUUCCACGCACUUUUUAAAAUCCAUAGUAAACGAAGAAGUGGUGUGUUUUUAGCUCUGAGGGACCUAACUAUAAUAAAGAGACAUGUUCAAACAGAUGAAAUGUGCGCAGUGGCUUUGAGAUCACAUGCCAUGCACCAGACCGGUUUUACAUGUUGAUUAAAAAUAAACUUGCCUGGGGCGUAACGUAACCUCUCAUCGGAGCAUGAAACAAACACGUAUAGGACACACUAUUACAGAAUAUUGUUUAAAGCUGAAGUGAAUAUGAACGCAUGUAGAUGGACGGGCUUCGGGUGAGCUGAAGGACAUUCAGAGACGAUGGCUGACAGAGAAGGCAGAUCGGGUGAUCGGAGGACCAGGGAAAGACGUGAAAGGAGCCAGAGCAUGGGAGAACGUCCCAUGAUGGACAGUAGUGCAGAUUUGGAUAGCCCUGACAGUAAGUAAAAGAAGUGUGAUAUUUUUAUAUUUUUAAUGAGCUGUGAGUGACGCCUGCUAAUACAUAAAUUUAGAUAUUAGAAGUAUUUAGACAUUUUUGAUGAGCUCUAAUGUCACAUGGACUACUUUUAACAAUGUCCUGGGUCGGGGAAUAUUCCCUUUAAUUAUAAGUUCUUAAUACUUUAUUUUAUAUUUAAAGCUGCUGUCCAUAACGUUUUUAUUAUUUCGGAUUAUAAACGAUCCAAAAUUAAUUUCUGGCCAAGUACGUAACCAGCCAGUGUUCAAAACCUUCAAAAUCUCCUCACCUUAGCCCAAUUCACAACUGUCACCAAGCCAGCAGAGGGAGCUCUUACCCCUGGGUGAUCUGC